rnacentral:rRNA from 1 species
UGCGUAGGCGGUUUGAUAAGUCAGAGGUGAAAGCCCACCGCUUAACGGUGGAAUUGCCUUUGAUACUGUCAGACUUGAAUAAGGUUGAGGUCGGCGGAAUGUGUCAUGUAGCGGUGAAAUGCAUAGAUAUGACAUAGAACACCAAUUGCGAAGGCAGCUGGCUAGACCUUUAUUGACGCUGAGGCACGAAAGCGUGGGGAGCGAACAGGAUUAGAUACCCUGGUAGUCC